UACGGAGGGGGUUAGCGUUGUUCGGAAUGACUGGGCGUAAAGCGCGCGUAGGCGGAUCAGGAAGUUGGGGGUGAAAUCCCGGGGCUCAACCCCGGAAUGGCCUUCAAAACUCCUGGUCUUGAGGUCGAGAGAGGUGAGUGGAAUUCCGAGUGUAGAGGUGAAAUUCGUAGAUAUUCGGAGGAACACCAGUGGCGAAGGCGGCUCACUGGCUCGAUACUGACGCUGAGGUGCGAAAGCGUGGGGAGCAAACAGG
rnacentral:rRNA from 1 species